AUAACAAAAUUGACAAAAUUGGUGAAAAUCCCUUUCAAACAUUACGCAGCUUUCCUUCCAAAUAAUACGACAGCUUUCAACUCGUAAAACUGAGGCAAUAAAAUUUUUUGAAGGACAGUGUCGACAUGAAAGAGACAAGCGCAGAUCACAAGAAAGAGACGGAAGAGUGAGUCAAGAAAGUGACAGUCCUAGGGCAUGAGAAAGAGACAGAGUAAUCUGCUGCGCACACACGUUUCAGUGAUAACCAAAUUUCAGAAGUAGCGGCCAG
ensembl:ncRNA lncRNA:CR45022 long non-coding RNA:CR45022